AGCAGACAAAAUGCGCGUUUUAUUAAAUUAUUACAGACGGAAAAUCCGUCUGUAAUUUAAAUGAAAUCCGUCAAAAAUAUUAAAAACCCUAGUUGAAGAUUAACCCAUUCACUCGCCAUUCACGCCAUUCACUCCAUUCACUCGCCAUUCACUCCGCCCUGCACCUCGCCGCCCACAGCCACCGCACUCUUUGCCGCCACUACAGCCACGCAGCUCCCGCAUCAGCCCUCGCAGCUCCCCGCAACCCCCACAGCCUCGCAGCCCCUCAACGGCGCAGCCACCGCAGCCCCUACACAGACACAGCCUCCACCGCCACUGUAGAAGAUCCGUCGCCGACGGAUUCUGAGCUUCUUUUCGUUCCAGAUCAGCGCUUUCUUUGUCAGAUUCCCUUCGCGCAGCUGGAUUCCAGCUGCACAGAUUUCAUUAUCAUCAAUCUGAAAAACUGAAAAACUGUGGAGUGUGCUAUGGAAGAUAUUAGAAAAGACCGAAUCAAUGGGGGUUGAGGUAAAAGGUCCCGACCCCAAACGCGGUUACUUCCAUGAGAUGAUGUGAUUUUUCUUCGUUUACUCUAUUUUUUAAUCCAAGUCAAGCAAGAUCAUACCGGCAAACGUGUUUUCAACUUUUUCCUUCCAUGAAAUGAACGAAUUCAUCGUUUUGCUGAACGUGGACUCACAUCCUUGUUGAUCUGGAAUUCCCUCUCUCAACUUCAUCCCUAAUCUCUUCCAUGCUUGGUUCAAUGGCCCAACAAAUCCCCAAUCCUACUGCUCAAGACCCCAAUGAUGUAUUUUUCAUAGAAUGUGCUGAUUCUUCUCUUUUGGAUGCCUUUCCUACGGUGAUGGGUUGACAUAGUCACAAGUUGUUUCUGAUGUUGUUGAUCCAUCUUUUGAGCCACUAAUAUUAGUAGAAGAUUCCACUAUAUAGCUUGUAAGAUCAACCAUCCGGUUCUCGAGGUUGUCUUCUGCACUUGUUGAAGCUGUUAACUCUCCCUCACUUGGAAGGUUCCUCGGCUGUAAGUGUCCAUUUUCUUCAAUUGGAUGAAUCCUUUUUAAAUAAUUUGGUGAUGUUGUGUCUUUGUCCCUCUGGUCCUUGCCACCACUGGAAUAGAGAGAGUAGUUGAUUGAAAAUAAGUCAUUAAUUGAAUGAAGUCAUUAAUUGAAAUGAAUUUGAAAAUGAUAAGAGAAACAAGUAGAAGUAGUUGAUUGAAAAGACAACUAGAAGAUUAAUUUGUCUGAGAGAAGAGGACAGCGUGGUGUUGUAGGUGGCGGUCUCUCCUUUCAUUUCUCAGUUGGGGAACUUUUGUUGUCGCUUAUUCCUUUCUUGUACCUGUAACGUGGUGGUCCAUUAGGAAAUAUACAUGCCAUUUUUAUUUGAAUUCAGAAAAUUGUGUGUCGCAUGAGGUGUUAUUGUUGAGUCGUCAAAUUAUUAUUUGAUUGAUUUAAGAAUUAUAAAAAAAAUAUUCCAUUCUUGGCCGUUUCAAUUGUUAGUCUAAUAAUAUAUUGAAGCAUCUUGCCAACAAUGAAUGAUAAAAUAUCAUUAUUCAAUGUAAUCAUUCAAUUAUAUUAUUAAAAAGCAUCUAUUAUCAUGCAACGACAUGCUGGAUACAAUAUAUAGAGGAAAACUUUAUUGUUUUAGCUUUUUUUAUUAAAUUCUGUUUUUACAAUAUAUUUGGAGUUUCAUUUAUUCAAUGAUCAAUUUUUAUAUGGCUUGAUUUCUUGUUUCAAUUACAUUAACGUAGAACUGAAUAAAAGUUUCCAGGUAUAGGCAUGCUUUGAAUAUUCAAUUCAUUGGAUCUAGAAUUGCAGUUGUUUGGAAGCAAUUAUUAAAUAACUGGACACUUGGAUUACAUUGUUUAUUUUCGGAAUUCCUUCUAUAAUUUAUAAAUGACGAGAAUGGUAUAAUGCCAGUACACUUGAUUGUUCUUUUUCACCAUUGAAGUGUUUCUGCCAGUAUCCAGGUCCUUGGCAGGUGAUGCUUAAGCAAGCAGAUAGUUCUUACGCUUGCAUAGCAGAAAGCGCAACCCGCUUCACCCUUGGUGAAGCCAAAGAAGAGUUGUUGAGAGUCUUGGGACUUCAAGAAGGGGAGGAAAGCUCUCUAGAAUUUCUUCGAAGAGGCUACAAGUUGGCUGUUCGCAAGUGCCCUGAAUGUAGACAGCCACUACCCGAAAGCUAUUCGCCUCCGGCAGAUGAACCUUGGACGACUGGGAUCUUUGGAUGCACUGAAGAUAGGGAAAGUUGCAAGAAGUGUAGCCCUUUUCUAAUUGCAUUAAGAGAUAUAAAACAACACGAUAUUACUCAAAGUAUGCAUGGGCUACUGGUUGAUUGGUUUGUAGAGAUUUGCAUAAUGUAAUGUUUCUCAUAUAAUACAAUGUUAUGAAUUAUAGCUGAUAAAUUUAGUACGGUUGAACAAUACAUUGAGGAUUAUAGUUGAUGUAUCAAUACAUUUUGUUUAUAUUUUGAAUUA